UUAGCUGACCUGGUGGGUUGAUCUGCAUCGAGCACUAAUCAUGUAUGAGGCGUUAUAAAGGUGCUCGACGGGAUGUGUUCCAGAGCAUUGGGUCCCAAAUGGGAACUUGGCUAGGUUAAACCCUCAGUUCAAGUAAGCAGGAGUAAUGGAUCCGUCGGUGGCUAAAAGGUCCGGGAUCACAGUGAGUAACGGAAAGGGAGUGUGACAUGUGCGCACAAAUGAACGAAAUUAUUUUAACAUGCUUAAAAGUACUUUCAAUUUAAAAUCUUCUAAGUUAUGUCAAGUAUG
rnacentral:lncRNA from 1 species